rnacentral:rRNA from 1 species
UAGGGAAUCUUCGGCAAUGGACGGAAGUCUGACCGAGCAACGCCGCGUGAGUGAAGAAGGUUUUCGGAUCGUAAGCUCUGUUGUUAGAGAAGAACGUUGGGAGGAGUGGAAAAUCUACCAAGUGACGGUAACUAACCAGAAAGGGACGGCUAACUACGUGCCAGCAGCCGCGGUAAUACGUAGGUCCCGAGCGUUGUCCGGAUUUAUUGGGCGUAAAGCGAGCGCAGGCGGUUCUUUAAGUAUGAAGUUAAAGGCAGUGGCUUAACCAUUGUACGCUUUGGAAACUGGAGGACUUGAGUGCAGAAGGGGAGAGUGGAAUUCCAUGUGUAGCGGUGAAAUGCGUAGAUAUAUGGAGGAACACCGGUGGCGAAAGCGGCUCUCUGGUCUGUAACUGACGCUGAGGCUCGAAAGCGUGGGGAGCAAACAGG